UACAGAGGAUGCAAGCGUUAUCCGGAAUGAUUGGGCGUAAAGCGUCUGUAGGUGGCUUUUAAGUCCGCCGUCAAAUCCCAGGGCUCAACUCUGGACAGGCGGUGGAAACUACCAAGCUGGAGUACGGUAGGGGCAGAGGGAAUUUCCGGUGGAGCGGUGAAAUGCGUAGAGAUCGGAAGGAACGCCCGUGGCGAAAGCGAGGUCCUGGGCUCCUGCUGACGCUGAGACGCGAAAGCCAGGGGAGCGAACGGG
rnacentral:rRNA from 1 species